CCUAGCUAAGUAUAAACACUCGUCUGCAAAGCGAAUGAACAGAAUUGAUCUGAGUUGGGU
rnacentral:tRNA from 1 species